UACAGAGGUCUCAAGCGUUGUUCGGAUUCAUUGGGCGUAAAGGGUGUGUAGGUGGCGCGCUAAGUCGGGUGUGAAAUUUCGGAGCUUAACUCCGAAACUGCAUUCGAUACUGGCGUGCUUGAGGACUGGAGAGGAGACUGGAAUUCAUGGUGUAGCAGUGAAAUGCGUAGAGAUCAUGAGGAAUACCGGUGGCGAAGGCGGCAUCCUGGACCGGCAUUGACGCUGAGGAGCGAAAGCUAGGGGAGCAAACGGG
rnacentral:rRNA from 1 species